rnacentral:misc_RNA from 1 species
AGCAGCCGCGGUAAUUCCAGCUCCAAUAGCGUAUAUUAAAGUUGUUGCAGUUAAAAAGCUCGUAGUUGAAUUUCGGGGUUAGCAGGUCGGUCGUGCCAUCGGUAUGAACUGGUCUCGCUGAUCCUCCCUCUUGACGAACUGUGAUGCCAUUAAUUUGGUGUCGCAGGGAAUCAGGACUGUUACUUUGAAAAAUUAGAGUGUUUAAAGCAGGCUCACGCUUGAAUACAUUAGCAUGGAAUAAUGAAAUAGGACGUUUGAUCCUAUUUUGUUGGUUUCUAGGAUUGACGUAAUGAUUAAUAGGGAUAGUUGGGGGCAUUAGUAUUCAAUUGUCAGAGGUGAAAUUCUUGGAUUUAUUGAAGACUAACUACUGCGAAAGCAUUUGCCAAGGAUGUUUUCAUUAAUCAAGAACGAAAGUUAGGGGAUCGAAGACGAUCAGAUACCGUCGUAGUCUUAACCAUAAACUAUGCCGACUAGGGAUCGGAUGAUGUUAAUUUUUAAUGACUCAUUC